GGAGUAGCUCAGUUGGUAGAGCGCUGGUCUCCAAAACCAGAUAUCGGGAGUUCGAGUCUCUCCUCC
rnacentral:tRNA from 1 species